GACUCUCGGCAACGGAUAUCUCGGCUCUCGCAUCGAUGAAGAACGUAGCGAAAUGCGAUACCUGGUGUGAAUUGCAGAAUCCCGCGAACCAUCGAGUCUUUGAACGCAAGUUGCGCCCGAGGCCACCCGGCCGAGGGCACGCCUGCCUGGGCGUCACGCCAAA
rnacentral:rRNA from 5 species